rnacentral:rRNA from 1 species
AACGAACGCUGGCGGCAUGCCUAACACAUGCAAGUCGAACGAGACCUUCGGGUCUAGUGGCGCACGGGUGCGUAACGCGUGGGAACCUGCCCUUAGGUUCGGAAUAACUCCCCGAAAGGGGUGCUAAUACCGGAUAAUGUCUUCGGACCAAAGAUUUAUCGCCUUUGGAUGGGCCCGCGUUGGAUUAGCUAGUUGGUAGGGUAAAAGCCUACCAAGGCGACGAUCCAUAGCUGGUCUGAGAGGAUGAUCAGCCACACUGGGACUGAGACACGGCCCAGACUCCUACGGGAGGCAGCAGUGGGGAAUAUUGGACAAUGGGCGAAAGCCUGAUCCAGCAAUGCUGCGUGAGUGAUGAAGGCCUUAGGGUUGUAAAGCUCUUUUACCCGGGAUGAUAAUGACAGUACCGGGAGAAUAAGCUCCGGCUAGCUCCGUG